rnacentral:lncRNA from 1 species
UUUAUGUUUCGUAUGUUUAGAUAAUUAUUUUACGCUAUUUCCGCUAUUUCUGCUGGAGUUACUAAUGCUCUAUUAUUUUUGUUUUUGUCUUUGUUUUACUGCUAUUUUUCCUUUUAAAUCCUAUGAGCCGGGGGUCGAUUGGAAACAGCCUCUCUGCCCUUUUGGGUAAGGGUAAGGCUUGUUUACAUAUUACCCUCCCCAGACCCAUCUGGUGGGAGUAUACUGGAUAGUUGUUGUUGUUGUUCUUGAUAUUUAGACAGUUCCAGGAUCAGUUUCAAGGAAAACUUAUUCUGUUUAGAAGUUCCGAACUUCAACAACAAAUCAAGACCAACAAAAUUACUCAUGUGUCAAUCAAGGUAUUUUUACUUAAACUAUAAGAGUGUUUUUUUUUUUUGCUUUAUUUCGGGGUCACAUAAAAUCACAUAAUCUAAUUUCAGGUGUUCGAGGGUGAGACAUCUAAGAAUUUAAUCUUUUUCAAAUUAAAGUAACAGCUUAGUGUAAGUGUAUUCCCGAUUUGUGAUCAGUUGUAGACUAUUCCAGUAAUUUUAGCUUCUUCAUUUUUUCUCAAAUAAAUAUAUAUUACAGUAUUAUUAUACAUAAAUGCAUGUUUUCAUUAUAUUAAGUUGUAUUGGUUCUUUGACGUAAAAAAAAAUUGUAUGGUUCUUAUGUUAUUUUUGGCUUGUCAGAUGUUUGCUACGACUAUUUUAGAUUUUGG